rfam:Rattus norvegicus strain BN/SsNHsdMCW Contig115608, whole genome shotgun sequence.
CUCCCUGCAGAUCGCCCGAGCCAGCCUUUGCCAAGGACCUUGACCUAGCAUGGACUUGGUCGCCACGCUUAGCUCCCCCUGACCUGCUUUUGAACCCGCUAAUCCACCCCAACUCUUGCCCCAACGUUCACUCCACGCGCUAAUUCCCGCUGGCCCCACAGCCCCCACUCCCUCUCGGCCCGAGGCUCUGAAGGGCACCACCGGGGCUCCGAACUGAAGCAAAUGGCCUCAGCUACAAACAUCCCUCUCCUUGGCUGCCCUUAAUUUAAUUCGUUUUUUUUUUCAAAAUAAUAACCAGACGAAUAUCAAUCUUCUGGAACGGAGACGAACCUAGCAAACUGGUGGUCCGGUAAAGAAGUGGCCACCUUGGCUGACCAGCGACCAGGGCCUGGGAAGGAAAAGCCAGAAUCUGGUGCCCUGCAAGAGCGGAAAAAGGCCGGAAGAACCGCAGACACAA